GGGAAAAUCCCUAAAAUUCCUCACUUGUUGACCAACCGACUCCUCCACUCCUUCCAUACUCUCCAUUAUUCAUUUUUUUUUUCAUUUUGACUAUUGAAUUUUUGCUAAUUAUCUCUAUUGCCGAUUAUUGUUCUCACUUCCCUCAAUUUGUCGUCCCUUCUCCUACUCUCCCCAAAUUUUUCUUUUCUUCCAUUUUUGCUACUGUAAGCUUUUGUCGCUCCUUUGAUUUCUUUUCUUUUCUUUUUCUUCUUUCCUUUUUUCUUUUAACCUUUUUUAUAUAUAAUCUCACAACCAAUCCUUGAUUUCUUCUUCUGUUACCUUUUUUUUUAUUCUCUUCUUGUACUGUUAUUUUCGUUUGGAUAGCAACCUUUUUUUUUAUCAUCACCAUCCCUAUGUCAAUUUUUCUUUGUGUUGAUCAGUGUCAUAACAUGAUUUUGAACAACUCUGACUGUGUGUGUGGUGAGAAGCGUGAAAUACGUAAUCCUCCGGUGAAUUAGGUGUUGAUUGUUCGCUGCUUUUCGGGGUUCCAAGUUCGUUGCAAUUGUGACAACGUGUUAGAAGCAUUCAAGUAUGUGUUCUAACCCCACAUGUUUGUGCGUGUUUUUUACUCGGAAAAAAAUCGAGAAAAGCGUGAAAAUCUUAAAAAUACAUGAAAAAUCGAAUCUGCUAAUCGAUAACACACGACCGAGGGGACACACCGUCGUAGGGGUUCAUUUUGAUCUAGUUGUAGGCCUUGCUUGGGCCGAGUGUUUGAUACUAAAAUAUGAAAUACAAAUAAUCUGUGAUCCUCAGACUUAGGAUUUGGCAGCGCUUAAGAGCUCAGUUCGGUUUAUUGUUUUUAAUUCUUUCAGAAACUUUUGUUUUGGAUUUUAUGGACUGGAUUGUCAGACUAUUUUAUUUUUUCGGACGUUAACUUUGGUUUGAAAUUGGUUUGAUGUUUGUAGUUAGUCGAUAAGUUUUUUUUAAUUGGAAUAAAUUCUGAUGAAACGAAUCAAAUAAGCAUUUUUCAAAGUUAAACAA